AUGACGGACAAUGAAGUUGAUAGGCUCAGCAAGUUGCCCGAUGACGUUUUGCUCAACAUUGUCGAGCGACUUGAUAUCACUGACGUUGCACGAACCACCAUCCUCUCGAGACGUUGGAAGCAGAUCCCUGCUAUGCUCUCAAAAAUUAUCAUAACAGUCGGUUCUUUUGAGCCCAAGGACGGAAGGAGAAAAUUAACCUCACAUGAUAUAGUUCGGGCCAACACCACCGUUCGGGAAGCAACCAGGAGCAUACUAGAAUGCAGGACCGGAAGUCUACACACCAUUCACCUAAUGUCCAUGCAAUUCUAUCUGGGAGAUGACUCCAUCUUCAUUGGCCAGACUGUUGCCAACACCAUAGCAACACAAAAAGUUGCUUCGGUUGAGUUCGUAAUCUUAACCGAAGUGCGUACCAAUUGUUACGUUGAUGACCUGCUCAAUUAUGGGAAGCGGUUCAUGGUAUUCUUUGAUUCAUGUCCAAACGCAUUUGGUGGUCUUGCACGCCUCUGGCUAGAGAAUUUGAGGUUAGGCGAAUCAGACUUCCCCAAAAUUUUCAGUAUAUGCAAGCAACUAGAGUUCUUGCGCCUCUGGCGGUGUGACACGGGGGAUCUGUCUUUGCUGGAAGUGGAACACCUGCAACUCCGUGAACUAGUGAUUUCGGAUAGCAGUCUUGAGAGGGUUGAUCUCAAGUGGGUACCAAAGCUCACAGUACUGAAAUUUAAUGGGUUUUUAUCUCGAGAUGACCCUUUCUGUUUGGGCUAUGUCCCACAGCUCCAGACUGUGAGCAUCACUAAUGUUGGUCUUUCUUGGCACAAGAUGCUCAAGCUAAGUGAGUUGCUUGGUAAAACAGCCAUAAGCAACCUGCAUUUGAACUUCAGAUGUGAAAAGAUUUGGGUCAAACCAGAAGGCCGAAAGCAUUUGUUACCGGUGUUCCGCAAACUAAGUUUUGUGAAUUUGUUCAACAUUUCCGAAGAAUGCAAUCUGAAUUGGACGAUGUUCAUACUCCAAGGCGCACCCACCCUUAAGGAACUAUGCAUUACGGUGCGGGAUCAUUUAUGUGAAAUGACAAAGGGGAAGCGGAGGUACUUGCAUGAGUUUAGCGAGGAGAAGGACAAAGGACUGGAGUGGGAACCAUCUGCCCUAGAUUUCAAUCACCACAGCCUGGCUGAGCUCUGUAUCUAUGGGUUUCGGGCAGAAGACAAAUUUGUGAGGUAUGCCAGAAACAUCAUGGAGGCAGCGGUGAACCUGGUGGCUGUAAACCUGUAUAAGAAUCCAGGGUGUGAGAAAUGCAAGCGCAGGCUUCCAAGUGGGUGGACGUUGACGGAGAUGCUGUUGAUUAGAGACAAAAUCAGCAAGGGUAUGUCGUCAAAUGUUGGGGUUUGCUUCCCGAGUUGA
rnacentral:rRNA from 1 species